GUCAUUGAUCAGAUAGGGUUAAAGAGUUUUUAUGCGCUAUAAAGCCAAACAGUUUGUAAGACAAUAAUAUAGUGAAUUAAUAUCAGAUUUAUCCUUCUCUCUCAUUAUUUCUCUGGAACCUAUCAUUGCUCGAAAGUGAUUUAUCUUUCUAUCCCUAUUAUUUUAUACCUGAUUUAACAUUAUCAAUACUAGUUUCAACAAUAUUGUAGAUCUGAUAACCAAAGAAGGCCGGUUAUGGGUUCAAUUUUGGGUCAAGUUAAUUCUUGUCUGAAUAUCAUAACACUUGACGACGAUAAAGGUGAAGAUGACAUUGAAGAUGAAGAUCUUAUAAUUAAAAUAAUGACCGGUCAUACAAAUCAAAUUGAUGAAGUACCAAAGAAGGGUUGUAGAGGGAAAACUUAACUAUAGCUAUAUAUUGAGAUCAUUGUACAAUUUUUGCAAAAUAAAAUGACAUCGAGGCUUCUUUCCUUAGUUCAUUUGAAAAUGCCAUCAUAUUGGGGAUCUUUCAAUCAUCAAAUGCAGCCGCUUCCAUCAAAAUCUUCAUGUUUGAGGAAUUUGAAGCAUAUUAAUGCAUAAACCCUUUUAUCUUUGAUGGAAAAUAUCCACAGGAUUGUAUCUAAUGAAUGAAAUACAAAACCUAAGCUGGAGUCUAAUGUAGUCAUACCUGCUGCUGCACAGAUAGCUUUUGCUGGUCAAUGUUAUGGUAAUAGUUGGUCUUCACUUUGGCUUCCUAUUGAUCUUAUUCUUGAAGAUGCUUUGGACGGAAGGAACAUAGCAGAUUUUAGUGCCAUUGAAAUUAUUACUGGUAUGAAUCUAUCAUUGAUUUUAUAUUUAGAAAAUUGGAUAUGGUGUUAUGAUCAAUCAUGGAUCAAGAUCCAGACAAGCCGAUUCAAAAAUCACUUGUACUUCCAUUGACGAACUUUUGCACCACAUACAAGAAGUUUUUUAAGCUUGUAGUAGUAGGUUUAGAACAAUUGGCUCAUGUAUCUGGUCACAGAUAAGAAAAACCAGUUACCAUACUUGAAAAAUCUUUAAAGAUCAAAAUGUUCUUGAUUCUCUAGACCUUGAGUUUGAUGACCUGGUCAUUUAGAUGUUUUAGCAUUUCUUUAAAAUUAUAAGGUAAAACCAUCCAAUUAAUGUAAUUGAAUAAAUGGAGAUUGUUAUGACCAGGAUCAUCAAUGAAAGUGAAGAUAUUCCUCAUAUCUUCUUAGGCCUUCAUUAGACAUUAUAAUAAAGUAGAACCAGACUAUUUCUCCUAUUUCUUGGACCUUUGGGGAGAAAGUAAUUGCCAAUUGUGCUCUUACACCUUCUAAAAUUAUCAGUGAAACCAUAGUUUGAGAUUAACAAUGGGAAGAUUGCAAAACCUUCUCAAUCCAUAUAAAUAUGUGAUAAAGGCAGUGAUUUUCCAUCUAUAAGAAUUCUUGCUUCGACGAAGGGUAUUAGGUCAUCAAAUCCUGAUGAUAUGUGUAAAGCUCAAGAAGUUUUAGUUUCUAAAUCUAAAAAUGAUGAGAAUACAGAUGUUUAGAAUCUUACAAAGCUUAACAUUCAUGACAGAAGCUUCCGUAAAAUACGUCGUCCAAGGAAAAAUAGUAACAUCCAGAAUCAUAAUGAUCAUCCGAACUCUGUCAAAGUUACAGGAAGACAAAUUGAAUUUUCUACUUGAAAAGCCUUCUUUGAAAUCAUCUGGUUUUAGGCUAGAAAAUAAAUCUAAAGAAAGGAAGGAUUCUGAAGUGAAACAUGAGGCACCGGUUAGAAAAAGCAAAUUAUCUAUCCAGUUUGAUGGAAAAGUCGUAUAUUUGAAUUGUGCAGUUUGAAGUUACACCACUAAGUUCUUACUAUUCAGCUAGACCUUAAAUGUAAGUAUACUAUAUCUAUACAGGACAAAAUGAUUCUAGAUUUCUUUCUGUUGACAGAAAUUUAUCUUCCAAGGUCCCUUACAUUGGUGUCCUUAAUUAAACUAUAUGCUUCUUUAUCUUUGUUUUGUUUCUUUAGUUGUUGAUUUAUGAAGCAUAUGCCCUGAAACUAUCUUGUAAUUCAUAUUGUACAGAGCAGAAUAAAGAAUAGAAAAAUCAAUUUAAUAAA